GUGUGACUGCGUACCUUUUGUAUAAUGGGUCAGCGACUUAUAUUCUGUAGCAAGGUUAACCGAAUAGGGGAGCCGAAGGGAAACCGAGUCUUAACUGGGCGUUAAGUUGCAGGGUAUAGACCCGAAACCCGGUGAUCUAGCCAUGGGCAGGUUGAAGGUUGGGUAACACUAACUGGAGGACCGAACCGACUAAUGUUGAAAAAUUAGCGGAUGACUUGUGGCUGGGGGUGAAAGGCCAAUCAAACCGGGAGAUAGCUGGUUCUCCCCGAAAGCUAUUUAGGUAGCGCCUCGUGAAUUCAUCUCCGGGGGUAGAGCACUGUUUCGGCAAGGGGGUCAUCCCGACUUACCAACCCGAUGCAAACUGCGAAUACCGGAGAAUGUUAUCACGGGAGACACACGGCGGGUGCUAACGUCCGUCGUGAAGAGGGAAACAACCCAGACCGCCAGCUAAGGUCCCAAAGUCAUGGUUAAGUGGGAAACGAUGUGGGAAGGCCCAGACAGCCAGGAUGUUGGCUUAGAAGCAGCCAUCAUUUAAAGAAAGCGUAAUAGCUCACUGGUCGAGUCGGCCUGCGCGGAAGAUGUAACGGGGCUAAACCAUGCACCGAAGCUGCGGCAGCGACGCUUAUGCGUUGUUGGGUAGGGGAGCGUUCUGUAAGCCUGCGAAGGUGUGCUGUGAGGCAUGCUGGAGGUAUCAGAAGUGCGAAUGCUGACAUAAGUAACGAUAAAGCGGGUGAAAAGCCCGCUCGCCGGAAGACCAAGGGUUCCUGUCCAACGUUAAUCGGGGCAGGGUGAGUCGACCCCUAAGG
rnacentral:rRNA from 1 species